AUGGGUCAUACCCCUUUCAAACAACAAUUCUUGGAAGUCAGACCUCUUUGCUUUGGCUUCCAAUUAGGUAGCUCCUGGUGCUGAUUAUUGACCCAACCAAGGGUAGAAUUUUGAUUUUCGAAUGGACUGUAACAAUUGGGAAUAGGGUAGAGUCUGCUUAUUGCUACAAGGAAUUCCAUCUGUCCUAACAAACAAGACUGCCUAUGCUGGAAGGGUACAAAAGAAGCGUUUUUUCUGUCAAUUCAUGGUACUCCAUUUCUCAGGGCACCCAUAACACACGCAAAUCUUAUCCUUGGAUAUCCAAUGCUCAUUUGGUUGGUCGGAAGAAAUACUUGCCUCAUCGCAAUGCAACUUCCAUAAGGGGAUUAGUCAUAUGCAGCAUGUCCUUUCUGUGAAGUGCAUCAGGAGGAUGAAAAUCACUUAUUUUGCGUCACUGUCCAGCUGUGGGACAUGCUUCUCGCUCUCUUCUCGAACUCAAAUGGGCUAUGCCUAGAACUGUUUUGGAACUUCUAUAGAGUGGAAUGUCCGGGACUGAGAAGUAUCCUCACAAGAUUAUGGUAAGCCAUCCAAGCACCUAUUUGGUGGACCACCUGGUAAGAGACGAAUUCCAUAAUUUAUGAAGACAAACAACAAAAUAUGCUUUGUUUCAAUUUCAAAUGUAUUCGUUUGUUAUUUUUUUGGGACC
rnacentral:lncRNA from 1 species